rnacentral:rRNA from 1 species
AACGAACGCUGGCGGCAUGCCUAACACAUGCAAGUCGAACGAGACCUUCGGGUCUAGUGGCGCACGGGUGCGUAACGCGUGGGAAUCUGCCCUUUGCUUCGGAAUAACAGUUAGAAAUGACUGCUAAUACCGGAUGAUGUCUUCGGACCAAAGAUUUAUCGGCAAAGGAUGAGCCCGCGUAGGAUUAGGUAGUUGGUGGGGUAAAGCCUACCAAGCCGACGAUCCUUAGCUGGUCUGAGAGGAUGAUCAGCCACACUGGACUGAGACACGGCCCAGACUCCUACGGGAGGC